GGGGAUUUAGCUCAGUGGUAGAGCGCUUGCCUAGGUAGCGCAAGGCCCUGGGUUCGGUCCCCAGCUCCG
rfam:Rattus norvegicus chromosome 1, whole genome shotgun sequence.